rnacentral:rRNA from 1 species
GAUGAACGCUGGCGGCGUGCCUAAUACAUGCAAGUCGAGCGAACAGACGAGGAGCUUGCUCCUCUGACGUUAGCGGCGGACGGGUGAGUAACACGUGGAUAACCUACCUAUAAGACUGGGAUAACUUCGGGAAACCGGAGCUAAUACCGGAUAAUAUAUUGAACCGCAUGGUUCAAUAGUGAAAGACGGUUUUGCUGUCACUUAUAGAUGGAUCCGCGCCGCAUUAGCUAGUUGGUAAGGUAACGGCUUACCAAGGCAACGAUGCGUAGCCGACCUGAGAGGGUGAUCGGCCACACUGGAACUGAGACACGGUCCAGACUCCUACGGGAGGCAGCAGUAGGGAAUCUUCCGCAAUGGGCGAAAGCCUGACGGAGCAACGCCGCGUGAGCGAUGAAGGUCUUCGGAUCGUAAAACUCUGUUAUUAGGGAAGAACAAAUGUGUAAGUAACUAUGCUCGUCUUGACGGUACCUAAUCAGAAAGCCACGGCUAACUACGUG